GGAAGUAAAAGUCGUAACAAGGUCUCCGUAGGUGAACCUGCGGAGGGAUCAUUACCGAGUUCGUGCCCUCGCGGGUAGAUCUCCCACCCUUGUGUAUCUUUAUGUUUUUGUUGCUUUGGCAGGCCGUUAAUUCGUUAGCCACCGGCCCUCGGGCUGGUGCGCGCCUGCCGGAGGAUCUCUUCAAACUCUGUUUGUCAGUGUCGUCUGAGUACUAUAACAAUCGUUAAAACUUUCAACAACGGAUCUCUUGGUUCUGGCAUCGGUGAAGAACGCAGCGAAAUGCGAUAAGUAAUGUGAAUUGCAGAAUUCAGUGAAUCAUCGAAUCUUUGAACGCACAUUGCGCCCUUUGGUAUUCCGAGGGGCAUGCCUGUUCGAGCGUCAUUUCACCCUCUCAAGCUUCAGCUUGGUGUUGGGCUGCGCCAUCGCACUGGCGAGCCUUAAAGUCAGUGGCGGUGCCGUCGUGGCUCCAAGCGUAGUAGCAUCUCUCGCUCUGGAGGCCUGGUGGUUGCUUGCCAGACAACCCAACCAUAUCUUUCAAUGUUUGACCUCGGAUCAGGUAGGGAUACCCGCUGAACUUAAGCAUAUCAAUAAGCGGAGGA
rnacentral:rRNA from 1 species